rnacentral:sRNA from 19 species
AUCUGUGGUGACACAGACGCACGACUGAAGCACAUCGUGUGGCUUGGCAAAGCUUAAUAAUUGUU